rnacentral:lncRNA from 1 species
GGAGCUGGGCAUCCGGCCUGAGGCGCAGCGGUCGCGUUAGUUCGGCCCAAUGGCGGCACCGCUGCUUCACACGUUGUUUGUCGGGAGAUGCGGCCGCUUCGUCCUCUGCAGUCAAGACGCUGGGCGCGUCGAGGACUGGGUAAGAUUCAGGCCGCUUCCUUCUGCGCGUCUGGGACCAAAGCUCAGGACCGCGCUUAGAGGAGCGGAUUGAAAGGAUGUGGGACAAAGCUAAUGGCGUGUGAUAGGAGCACGGGGUCGAGGGUCAUCUCACGUUCACAGAAAUGAGCUCAUUCCUCCUAACUGGGUAAUAGACAUGGGUGGGGCCUGGAAAAGUGAGUAUGUUCUCUGUUCUGGAGGCCCACUUUCCCGACUGUGUCUCUUCGUGAUUUCCCAGGCCUGGGUACUGCCUUCUGCGCCUUGACCCCUCUUCCUUCCCUCUUCUUCGUCCAAAUUUGGAAGGGAUUUCCCUGGGCUAUGUGGGUUAUCAGCCGAACGUUGUCACUCAUGGCAAAUUGAAUAUUACAUCUUUUUUGUUUGAAAUUUGUUUCGACACACGUAUUUGUUUCGCAGUCUUUAUUUUGCUCCACUUUUAAAAUCCCUAACCCCCAUAGCACUCUUGGCGUUUAACUUUCAGAGUCAUUAGGAUGCUAUGUUUUUUCAUUAAUUUACUACGUGUAAGUGAAGCAAACCUUGUAAAACAAUUAGCGUAAUAUGAUUCCUAAUAUUUAUCGAGCUCCUGCUUACUGUGUUAAACACUGGGGACAGUGGUUUAUCCAAAGACACUAAUGUCCCUGCUUUCUACAGAGCUUACAGCAUAGGGUGGGAAGGCAGUACACAGGCCAAUAAAUAAACGAACACGAUGAUUUCAGUUAUACAACAAGGUAAUGGGGGAGGGAGAAGGGAGAGAAGGAGUGUUCGAGAUUUCUCAUUGGGAAGACAUCUGUCAUUUCAGCUUCUACUUGAAUGAAGACAAAAAUCUAGGCCGGGCGCGGUUGCUCACGCCUGUAAUCCCAGCACUUUGGGAGGCCGAGGUGGGCGGAUCACCUGAAGUCAGGAGUUCGAGACCAGCCUGGCCAACAUGCGAAACCUCGUCUCUACUGAAAAUAUAAAAAUUAGCCAGGCGUGGUGGCAGGUGCCUGUAAUCCCAGCUACUCAGGAGGCUGAGGCAGGAGAAUUGCUUGAACCCGGAGAUGGAGGUUGCAGUUAAGCUGAGAUCACACCACUGCACUCCAGCCUGGGCAGCAGAGCAAGACUCCAUCUCAAAAAAAAAAAAAAAUCCAGCCACGUAGAGAUUUGGGAAAAGAGUAUUUCCAAUAGAGUGAACAGUAAGUGAAAUGAGAAACAGCUUGGCUUGUUUGAAGAGCAGAAAAGACAUGAUGGCUGUAGUAAAACAAGUUGUUGGAGAUGAGGUGAGAGAGGUAGGCGGGGGCCAGAUUAAUGUAGGAUUUUAAAGACCACACUGAGAGAUUUGGAUUGUUACUGUAAGUGCAGUGGGAAGACAGUUAUUGGUUGCUGAGCAAAGGAGGGAUUGUUGGUUAAGAGUGGAAGCAGGGAGACCAGUAAAGAGGCCUUAACAAUAGUCCCACUGAAUUAUGUUGGUUCAAUAAAGGUUGGCUAUUAUAAUUUUUAUUAUUUUCAUGAACUUAAUAGCUUGUUAAUCUUGGUUCCACAGGAUUUCAAAUAUGCGUGCAUUAGAGAAUGAUUUUUUCAAUUCUCCCCCAAGAAAAACUGUUCGGUUUGGUGGAACUGUGACAGAAGUCUUGCUGAAGUACAAAAAGGGUGAAACAAAUGACUUUGAGUUGUUGAAGAACCAGCUGUUAGAUCCAGACAUAAAGGAUGACCAGAUCAUCAACUGGCUGCUAGAAUUCCGUUCUUCUGUCAUGUACUUGACAAAAGACUUUGAGCAACUUAUCAGUAUUAUAUUGAGAUUGCCUUGGUUGAAUAGAAGUCAAACAGUAGUGGAAGAGUAUUUGGCUUUUCUUGGUAAUCUUGUAUCAGCAUAGACUGUUUUCCUCAGACCGUGUCUCAGCAUGAUUGCUUCCCAUUUUGUGCCUCCCUGAGUGAUCAUUAAGGAAGGCGAUGUAGAUGUUUCAGAUUCUGAUGAUGAAGAUGAUAAUCUUCCUGCAAAUUUUGACACAUAUCACAGAGCCUUGCAAAUAAUAGCAAGAUAUGUACCAUCAUGAGUAUACUUUUCCUUAUUUUGAAUGUUUAAUUCUCAAGAAAAUUGUAAUCAAUUAGUAAAAAUUAUAAAAUGUUAAUAGUAUUAAAGCUUGAGUCUUACAUUGCAUUUUUUUUUUUGUAUCCACUUGAGGAAACAUUACAUUCUACAAAAAGUGGCAUUUCCAUUUUCUAUUUAUUCUCUUUAAUUGUUUUUCAAAGUUCGUAUGCAGAUUCUCCCCCAAUUUUGUAUGGUGGUUGGAAUUUUGUUUUUAUCUUCAACAGAUAUGCUAUCCAAAAUUUUUCAGUGAGAAACCCCUGGGUGUGUUUGUGUCAUGCCAUAUGAAUAAAAAUUGCACUUCUAAGAAAA